AUGCAUGUUCGAUGUCCUUCCGACAUCCCUCCUGAUAUUUUGCAAAUAACUUAUCGGGUUCACUUUGAGGAAGUCUAAUAGAUUUGACGAAAGUUGGAUAAGAAGGGUAGAUACUAUCGGCAUGUAACCAUUAAACGGGGGUAUUUGAGAUGGAUUUCUCAGCAUAGUUCCAUAAUAUGGAUGAAAGUUUGGAACAAAGGAUGAUUGGUUGAAAUUUGGUGUUAAACCAAAAUUAGGUGUGUUUU
rnacentral:lncRNA from 1 species